GGCAACGCUCGCUCCGCCCGCCGGAGCUGAGGGCCGGGAAACGGUGACACCCUCGCGCCCUGCCCCGGCGAGGGGCGCGGGCACAGGACAACCCCCCCCCCCGCAUCCCCGGCCCCGGGCGCGCGGAGAUCGUUAACUGGUCAUACUCCCUGGCUGUGGCUGCACCUGGAGGUUACCAAUUCACCUCAGUCCAGCUGUCGGGGUUGUGGUCCCGAAUGUGGGAGGUUGUGCCAUUAAGUUUCAUGCAGUCCCAAGCCUGGAGCCCAGCGCACUUGCAUGGGACAUGGCAGGAUUACUCAAAGAAUAUGCACACUUUAAAGAAAUCCGUAAUUUCAGGAAAAAAUGCUACUUCAGCCUCAGAUUUAGAAUUGGAGA